UGCAGUCGAGCGAACAGAUAAGGAGCUUGCUCCUUUGACGUUAGCGGCGGACGGGUGAGUAACACGUGGAUAACCUACCUAUAAGACUGGGAUAACUUCGGGAAACCGGAGCUAAUACCGGAUAACAUAUUGAACCGCAUGGUUCAAUAGUGAAAGGCGGCUUUGCUGUCACUUAUAGAUGGAUCCGCGCCGUAUUAGCUAGUUGGUAAGGUAACGGCUUACCAAGGCAACGAUACGUAGCCGACCUGAGAGGGUGAUCGGCCACACUGGAACUGAGACACGGUCCAGACUCCUACGGGAGGCAGCAGUAGGGAAUCUUCCGCAAUGGGCGAAAGCCUGACGGAGCAACGCCGCGUGAGUGAUGAAGGUCUUCGGAUCGUAAAACUCUGUUAUCAGGGAAGAACAAAUGUGUAAGUAACUGUGCACAUCUUGACGGUACCUGAUCAGAAAGCCACGGCUAACUACGUGCCAGCAGCCGCGGUAAUACGUAGGUGGCAAGCGUUAUCCGGAAUUAUUGGGCGUAAAGCGCGCGUAGGCGGUUUUUUAAGUCUGAUGUGAAAGCCCACGGCUCAACCGUGGAGGGUCAUUGGAAACUGGAAAACUUGAGUGCAGAAGAGGAAAGUGGAAUUCCAUGUGUAGCGGUGAAAUGCGCAGAGAUAUGGAGGAACACCAGUGGCGAAGGCGACUUUCUGGUCUGUAACUGACGCUGAUGUGCGAAAGCGUGGGGAUCAAACAGGAUUAGAUACCCUGGUAGUCCACGCCGUAAACGAUGAGUGCUAAGUGUUAGGGGGUUUCCGCCCCUUAGUGCUGCAGCUAACGCAUUAAGCACUCCGCCUGGGGAGUACGACCGCAAGGUUGAAACUCAAAGGAAUUGACGGGGACCCGCACAAGCGGUGGAGCAUGUGGUUUAAUUCGAAGCAACGCGAAGAACCUUACCAAAUCUUGACAUCCUUUGACCGCUCUAGAGAUAGAGUCUUCCCCUUCGGGGGACAAAGUGACAGGUGGUGCAUGGUUGUCCUCAGCUCCUGUCCUGAGAUGUUGGGGUUAAGUCCCCCAACGAGCGCAACCCUUAAGCUUAAUUGCCAUCAUUAAGUUGGGCACUCUAAGUUGACUGCCGGUGACAAACCGGAGGAAGGUGGGGAUGACGUCAAAUCAUCAUGCCCCUUAUGAUUUGGGCUACACACGUGCUACAAUGGACAAUACAAAGGGCAGCUAAACCGCGAGGUCAAGCAAAUCCCAUAAAGUUGUUCUCAGUUCGGAUUGUAGUCUGCAACUCGACUACAUGAAGCUGGAAUCGCUAGUAAUCGUAGAUCAGCAUGCUACGGUGAAUACGUUCCCGGGUCUUGUACACACCGCCCGUCACACCACGAGAGUUUGUAACACCCGAAGCCGGUGGAGUAACCAUUUAUGGAGCUAGCCGUCGAAGGUGGGACAAAUGA
rnacentral:rRNA from 1 species